GCCUGGCUAGCUCAGUCGGUAAAGCAUGAGACUCUGAAUCUCAGAGUCGUGGGUUCGAGACCCACGCUGGGCG